GUCCCUGUAGCGCAAUGGAUCGCGCGUUGGACUUCUAAUCUAAAGGUCAUGGGUUCGAAUCACACCUGGGAUG
rnacentral:tRNA from 1 species